rnacentral:rRNA from 1 species
AGUGAACGCUGGCGGUAGGCCUAACACAUGCAAGUCGAACGGCAGCACAGUAAGAGCUUGCUCUUACGGGUGGCGAGUGGCGGACAGGUGAGGAAUACAUCGGAAUCUACUUUUUCGUGGGGGAUAACGUAGGGAAACUUACUCUAAUACCGCAUAAGACCUACGGGUGAAAGAAGGGGAUCUUCGGACCUUGCGCGAGUGAAUGAGCCGAUGUCGGAUUAGCUAGUUGGCGGGGUAAAGGCCGACCAAGGCGACGAUCCGUAGCUGGUCUGAGAGGAUGAUCAGCCACACUGGAACUGAGACACGGUCCAGACUCCUACGGGAGGCAGCAGUGGGGAAUAUUGGACCAUGCGCGCAAGCCUGAUCCAGCCAUACCGCGUGGGUGAAGAAGGCCUUCUGGUUCUAAAGCCCUUUUGUUGGGAAAGAAAAGCAGCAGGUUAAUACCCCGCUGUUCUGACGGUACCCAAAGAAUAAGCACCGGCUAACUUCGUG